rnacentral:rRNA from 1 species
UACGAGAGGCCCAAACGUCAUUCGGAUUUACUGGGCUUAAAGAGUUCGUAGGCGGCGCGGAAAGUAGGGUGUGAAAGCCCUCGGCUCAACCGAGGAAUUGCGCUCUAAACUACCGUGCUUGAGGAAGCUAGAGGUGAGCGGAACUGAUGGUGGAGCGGUGAAAUGCGUUGAUAUCAUCAGGAACACCGGAGGCGAAGGCGGCUCACUGGGGCUUUUCUGACGCUGAGGAACGAAAGCCAGGGGAGCGAACGGG